GCCACUCUGGUGUAGCGGUUUGAGCAAUGGACUAUAACUCCAGUGAUCAAGGUUCAAUUCCCUGCUCUGCUG